GAUGAACGCUGGCGGCGUGCCUAAUACAUGCAAGUCGAACGAGGUGCUUGAGUAGCAAUACAAGAGUAUCCUAGUGGCGAACGGGUGAGUAACGCGUGGAUGACCUGCCCCAAAGUGUGGGAUAACAGUCCGAAAGGAUUGCUAAUACCUCAUGUGGUUAUCGGAUUUAGAAACUGAUAACUAAAGCAGCAAUGCGCUUUGGGAGGGAUCUGCGUCCCAUCAGCUAGUUGGUGAGGUAACGGCUCACCAAGGCGACGACGGGUAGGGGACCUGAGAGGGUGGCCCCCCACAAUGGAACUGAAACACGGUCCAUACACCUACGGGUGGCGGCAGUAGGGAAUAUUGCUCAAUGGGCGAAAGCCUGAAGCAGCAACGCCGCGUGUGCGAUGAAGGCCUCGGUCGUAA
rnacentral:rRNA from 1 species